ensembl:misc_RNA Metazoa_SRP Metazoan signal recognition particle RNA
GCUGGGUGUGGUGGCGCACACCUGUAGUCCCAGCUACUCGGGAGGCUGAGGCAGGAGAAUUGCUUGAACCCAGGAGGUGGAGGUUGCAGUGAGGCAAGAUCACACCACUGCACUCCAGCCUAGGCAACACAGCGAGACUCUGUCUCCA